UACUAACUCAAUAUUAAGAUUACAAUCGAAUCGUACAGUUCUCAAAAUGUUAAAAUUCAUUUGGUUUUUUAUACCAUGUAUUUUGGUGUUUCUGUGUCCAAUUUCACCUGUGCAGCUCCCGGAUGACUUGAAGUUUAUAAAAGAGUUCAAUAACACGGCUGCUGAGGACGAUACAAGCCAUUGCAUGGAGGAGCUCAGAAAAUGUCUCAAUCCACACACGAUUUCACCAGUUUGUGCAAUAAACUCCCUGACUGAUCUUAAACAACCAUUUGAAAGCAUGUGCGAACUGAUUCAUGAAAACUGUCGCAGUAAAAAAGAACAAUGGCAUUAUUUAAGUGAUAAAAUAGAAAAUUGCAGCGGAUCAUUUGGAGAUUCUUCUAAAAUACUCAGGAAGAUACCAACCAAAAAUUAAUCAAUGCUGUUACAAUCAAUUAUCCAGUAUUGCCUACGCUCAA